CAUUAUUACAGUGUAGAUAGAACAAGAUACUGUUCCAUAUGACCUCUUUCUCUUUUAAUUGCUACAGGAAAAAGCAAAACCCAAAAAUGCAUAGAAACCUUCUGAAAAAUCCAUAUGGAGAUGAGGGUUAUAGUAACUGGGAGGUAACGCGGAAAGGUGGAGACAUAUGGCAUCUUGAACAGACGCCAGGUGAUUCAGUGGCUAAAUACUUCUGCACCUCUUCUGGGUGAGAGAAAAUUAUUCAGAAUAGACAAUAAUAAUGUGUGAAUGUGAGUUUAUGAUCAUACUCUGCUGUGUCUUUGGGUCUCAAUGUUCAUUUCUGUACAAUUUUCCAGGCCGUGUCUAAAAAAACAAGUGAUUAUUCUGCUGCAAAGCGGUUAUGAUGCUGAAUAUUUAGAUUCUGCGCCUGAAGUGACUGUGAAGGACUGGUACAGCACUCGACAUGACUGUGGGGGCGUUUAUAGGCUCACUGUGUCACUGCUCAAUGCAAAUCUAGGCGUCAUUG